rnacentral:rRNA from 1 species
GAUGAACGCUGGCGGCGUGCCUAACACAUUCAAGUCGAACGGACUUAGGGGAGCUUGCUCCCCGAAAGUUAGUGGCGGACGGGUGAGUAACGCGUGAGCAACCUGCCUUACAGAGGGGAAUAACACAGGGAAACUUGUGCUAAUACCGCAUGAACUGUACAUACGGCAUCGUAGGUACAGCAAAGAGCAAUCGCUGUAAGAUGGGCUCGCGUCUGAUUAGAUAGUUGGUGGGGUAACGGCCUACCAAGUCAACGAUCAGUAGCCGGACUGAGAGGUUGAACGGCCACAUUGGAACUGAGAAACGGUCCAGACUCCUACGGGAGGCAGCAGUGGGGAAUAUUGGGCAAUGGGCGAAAGCCUGACCCAGCGACGCCGCGUGAGGGAAGAAGGUCUUCGGGUUGUAAACCUCUUUCAGCAGGGAAGAAGCAAGUGACGGUACCUGCAGAAGAAGUCACGGCUAACUACGUG